GCUGUUGCUGUUGAUCGAGAACUCGGCCAGGAGGCCGGGAGUUCCAGUGCCGAUGUUUCCCGCCCAGCGAUUCGGAGGACUUAGUCGGCGAGAUGUGCCGGGGGUGAGAGUGAAUCCGGAGGUUCCAAUUGAGGGGCCCCCGGCGUUCUCGCGGACGAUGAUGUUCCGCGAGCCCCCGCAGCGAUUGACAACGUUGAAGGAAGUGGCUGCUGCGAGUGGGAUUGGUACAAAACAAUGGGUUAGAGCAACAAGAGCAACAAGAGCAACGAGGAUGGCAGUAGAGCUUGCCAUUGGAACUGUGUAUGCUAUACCUCUCUAAUAAUAUUUCAAGUUUCUACACGGAUUUAUAUAGUCCAGGGGAAAGAGGUUGUGGACCACAUGCAACGUUGAACACCACCCGUGAGUUCAGUUCACGUCACAAGACUUUGAAAAUCAUGCUCAUGAACAGUAUAUGUGGUUUGAUGAAUUUCAGUCAAGGAUUUGCUGCUGAACUUUGUGAAUUCCCAAUGCAGCUCUCAGUUUCAUUCGUUUUGCUUUGUCUAUCCUAUAUUCUGUUUUGGUAGUCUUGUGGUGCCAUGAAACUCUGCAAUUAAGUUUGCAAGCUUGUUGUGGGUGUUUUCCAUCGCAAUCGUAUAAGUACUGUUUUAGAUAAGUGUUUUAACAAUUUAAGAAAAAGAAAAUUUGUUUAAUACUUAAAUAUGUUUCUUGGAAGACCACCCGUGAGUUCAGUUCACGUCACAAGACUUUGAAAAUCAUGCUCAUGAACAGUACAUGUGGUUUGAUGAAUUUGAGUCAAGGAUUUGCUACUGAACUUUGUGAAUUCCCAAUGCAACUCUCAGUUUCAUUCGUUUUGCUUUGUCUAUCCUAUAUUCUGUUUUGGUAGUCUUGUGGUGCCAUGAAACUCUGCAAUUAAGUUUGCAAGCUUGUUGUGGGUGUUUUCCAUCGCAAUCGUAUAAGUACUGUUUUAGAUAAGUGUUUUAACAAUUUAAGAAAAAGAAAAAUUGUUUAAUACUUAAAUAUGUUUCUUGGAAGACCACCUGUGAGUUCAGUUCACAUCACAAGACUUUGAAAAUCAUGCUCAUGAACAGUACAUGUGGUUUGAUGAAUUUGAGUCAAGGAUUUGCUGCUGAACUUUGUGAAUUCCCAAUGCAGCUCUCAAUUUCAUUCAUUUUGCUUUGUUUAUCUAUUUAUAUUCUGUUUUGCCAGUCUUGCGGUGCCUAACAAGAAGCAUGAGAUUCUGCAAUUAAGUUUGCAAGUUUGUUGUGGGGGUCUUAAUCAUAUAAGUUUAAAUGUACUGUCUUAGGUAGGUGAGAAAUGGAGGAGUGUUUAUUGCUUGUUCUUCUUUUUAGAUAUACAGACCCAAAGGUUUUUUUAGCUCCACUUUAACUCUACUGCAUCUGGGUGGAAGAGCAUCUUAUGAAAGGAUGAGUUUUAACAAGUAUUAUCCAAUGAAAUUGGGUAAUUAAUUUCAUUACAUAUGUAAAAAUAAAAAUAAUGAUCCAAGUGGGUAUAUAUUUGGGUGUAUUCAACAAUUUAGGAAAACAAAAAAAAACUAAAAAAAUGCUGUAAGGGCUACGAUGCCAUAUACUAAUAUUAGCAUAGUGGGAUUUUGGUAGCCGUCAGAUUGGUUUCAAUCCGGACCACUCGCUCUUGUAUAUAAACUAGAGUUUUUAGGUUAAUUGAUAUGCACAUUUCUAUAUUGCCUUUUUAUAUUCCAUGCACUCACAUUGGUGGAAAUAAGGGGCACUUUUGAUUGUCCCUGAAGAGUAUUUAGAUUUAGGAUUUUGGUUAGAUUUAGCUUUUGCAUUGUCUAGAUCUAACUUUUUCCAUUUCCUUUCUUUUGUUCUUCCUUUUUAGGAUUUUGGUUCAAAUCUAGCUUUUUGCAUUGUCUAGAUUUAUCAUUUCCUUCUGGCUUUUUGUCAUUUCUUUUCUUUUGCUUUUUCUUUUUCGUUCAUCUUCAUGGCAAAUUAGUAAUCUCCUCCUUUGACUUUAGAGUAGUAGUUGGUCUAAUUGCUUAAUGCUAUGUGCUUGCAAUUGAACAACCAAACUCAAUUGAUGGUGGCAUUCAUGGCACGUGGUCCAACUCCUCCUACUCUUUGUGCCAAUCUUUGUAUUUGGCCGGAGUUCUUUCGUGGGAAUCCUAGGGAUGAUGUGUACCAUUGGUUUGAUUACUUCAUAGUGAUUGCCACAUAUCAUUCUUGGGAUGAUGCUCGAUGUUUGCAUGAGUUUCCCAUGUGUCUCUAAGGGACGGCAUUGUAGUGGUAUAAUGGAUUGAGCACGGCCACUUGUGGGGAUUGGAGUGUUCUUCCGGACGUCUUCAAAUGCGCCUUCGGACAUGCCGACGAUUGUGAUGAUGCCUUCCAACAAUUGCAUCAUCUUCGCCAAGGGCCAUCUGAGUCAGUGAUGCAAUUUGGUGUUCGUUUCCGAAGUUUUUUGCUUCGUGCGGAGUCUAAUAUGUCGGAGUGGAUCAAGCUAGGAAUGUUGUGGCUAACACUUCGUUAAGAUCUUGUCGGACUUGUGCAUGCACUUGCUCCUGCCACCCUUGACGAUGCUCUUCGCUUGGCACAAUGUUAUGAAAUGUCGCCUCUUCCACUUUUCGUUGCACGUCCUUCAACUCCACUUUUUAUGAGUGAUGGUUCUGUUCCAAUAGAGGUUGAUGCUGCUGCUACUCGAGUCCAAGGACAAGGGCGAGGACGUGGUCGUGGCCGUGAUGUUCGUUGUUGGGUGUGUGAUGAAGUUGGUCAUACGUAUCGGCAUUGUCGGUGCUUUCCGGAUUGGCGACCUCCAUUUACUGGGUGGAGACCUUGGCGUCAGCAACGUCCCGUUGGUGCUGCUGUAGUGGAAGGUUUGGACACCACAGUGCAUCAGGGAAACGAGGAGUCAUGUGAGUAACAGAGGGACCUUGCACAAAUAAGUUAGUGACCCCUCCAUCUUUCUUUCGGGAGUAUCAUCAAGAGGUUCAUGCGGCACCGGUUCAUCCAGUGUUUACUUUCCAAACUCGUUUUUAUAACAAGAGGUCUCUUAUUAUUCUCUCCGUGUUGGUUGAUACAGGUUCGAGUUUAUCUUCUAUUUCUCGACUUGUUGCCACACGUUGUCGUCUACACUUGUGUCAUGCGGUGGACCUAGUUUUCAUUCUUUAUGGCAACGGCCGUACACAUGCAUGUGCACGAGAUGAGGUGGACCUGGUUGUGUGUGUGAGCAAUCUCGAGCUUGAGUUGUAGUCGUUGCAGGUGGUGCCGAGUCAAGCUUUUGACCUUAUUCUUGGUAUGGAUUGGUUGCAGCGCAAUCAUGCCAAGUGUGACUUUGAGGCUUCUCCCCCUUGUCUUAUACUUUCUUAUGUUUUAUCCAUUCCUCUCACUUCUGUACUUUUUCGUCCCUCUACUUCUACCUCUACUUCCAUUACUUUUGUUCCCCUACUAUUUCCUCCUGUGUUUCCAUCUUGUUUUGCUCUUCCCUUUUUCGAUCCCUCCGACGAUUUUUGUGUUGCAGCUGUUGACCGGCUCAUGAAGGAGUAUUGUGAUCUCUUUGAAUUUGACCUAUCCUCUAGGGCCAAGAUUGCCACACGUCAUCCCAUUCCAACCGGGGAUGCUUGUCCAAUCAAGGUUUCUGUUCGUCGUCGGUCACCCAAGAAGAUCAAGAUUUUACGUGCAAACGUCAAGGAGAUGUUAGAGAAGGGUGUUUUUCAGAAGUUGCGAAGUCCUUGGGCAUGUGAACCUCAUCUUGUGAUGAAGCCUGAUGGGAGUAUUCAUUUCUGCAUCGACUAUCGUCCAUUAAAUGAAGUGACGAUCCCGGAUGUGUACCCUCUUCCUCACACUGUUGAUCUUUUGGAUCGUUUGGGGCGAAGUCGUUGGUUCACCAAGCUAGAUCUUGCUUCUGGGUACUGGCAAGUACUGAUGGCUGAAGAAGAUAUUCCUAAGACUACUUUUCGUACACCGUUUGGUUUGUACGAGUUCUUAGUGAUGCCGUUUAGUUUGAACAAUGCUCUAGCAACUUUCCGACGGAUGAUGGAUGAGGUUUUUUGUGAUAUGCCAGAGGUGACUACUGACUUCAUUGAUAAUGUCUUGAUUCACUCGGAGGGGACGUGGGAGGAGCACAUUAGUGAUGUGUGUAAAGUGUUGGAUCGGCUACAGGAUGUUGGUUUAAAGCUGAAGCGGUCAAAAUGCGUGUUUGGGUCCAAGGACACAACCUAUCUUGGGUACCAUAUUUCUCGUGAGGGUUUGCAAGUUGAUCAUGACAAACUUGUAGCCGUUCUAAAGUUCCCUACUCCGAAGUGUGUGAAUGAUGUGCAACGUUUCUUGGGCAAGGUGUAGUAUCUCGGUCUUUUUGUGGAUCAUCUUUUUGAUCGCUUUGCACCAUUGCAAGCAUUGCUGAAGUCAUCAACGUCAUCUUUCAUUUGGUCUUCAGAUUGUGAGCUGGCAUUUGUGGAUCUCAAAGAGCUGUUAACAACUCCUUUGGUUUUAGCAUAUCCUGACUACACUCGACCUUUUAUUUUGUGUGUAGAUGCUUGUGAUAUUGGUCUUGGAGGUGUGUUAAUGCAAGAAAGCCUGAGUGUGCCUGGUCAACGUCAUCCCAUUGCAUAUAUAAAUCGUACGUUACAACCAUCAGAGUUGAACUACUCCACAAUUGAGAAGGAGUGUUUAGCGAUAGUUUGGGGUUUCGAGAAACUUUAUGCAUAUCUACAUGGUUCUCGGACGUUACUUGAAGGUGACCAUACUGCUGUUUCUUCAUUAUUGAAGUGGAAGAACCUGGUUAAUCGUACUGCUCGGUGAGUUUUGAAGCUUCAAAUAUAUAAUUUUGAUGUUGUUCAUCGCCUAGGGAGUUCUAUGGCUGAUGCUGAUGCUCUUUCUCGAGCUCCUCUUCCUUCUCCACUCUCUUCCCAUAUUUCUGAUGAGCCUAUUGUUCCAGCAUCUGUGGAUUUUCUAGGCGAGGAUUCUGUGCCGUUGGUGGUUGCUGUACUUGACGUUCAGUGUCCACAAGGAGCAAAGCAAGAUCUACCUUCUCUGGAUGAGGUUCGCGAGGCUCAAAAAAUUGAGCCAUGGAUUCAAAGGCUUCGAGAUGCAUUUGAGAAUCCUGCAUCACUUGCUGAUGACUUGCCUUUCCGGCAUUUACAUUCUCAAUAUCACCUUGAAGAUGGCCUUCUUUAUUUUGUGGGGACGGAUCCUAAUGAUUAUUUACGGCUGGUGGUGCCUUUUGUCUUUAUUCCGCAGUUUCUCCAUGCCUACCAUGAUUCUCAUGUUCUAGGUGGGCAUAUGGGACAUCGUCGUGUGACUGAGAAGCUGCGCAGGUCUUUCUAUUGGCUAGAGAUGCAACAUGAUGUUAUCCAGUAUGUGUGUAGCUGCGUUUGGUGCCAAGCUCGUAAUACUCCCCCUUGUGCUGCGGAAGGAUGGUUGAAGUCAAUUGCAGUUUCCCGUCCGUUUGAGUUGGUGGCGUUUGAUCUUAUGGGACCUUUUCCACGUUUGACUGCUAGCAAUGAGUAUGUUAUUAUUGCUUCUGACUACUUGACUCAUUGGGUGGAAGUUGGUGCUCUUGCUAGUGCCUCUACAACUACUGUUGGAUACUUCCUCCUCAAUCGAGUGGUGUUCCAGCAUUCUUGUCUAGAGCGGAUUCUUUCAGAUAAUGGUCCUGCAAUUAUAGCUGAGGCAUUUCAUGUUUUGACGUCUCGGUUGGGGAUAUGCCAGACUUUCCCGAGUGCUUAUCAUCCACAAUCAGACGGUAUGGUGGAACGGCUCAUUCGGACAUUCAAAGGGAUGAUUGCGAAGUAUGUGAACUUUCAGCAUUUGGAUUGGGAUGGUUAUUUGCCGUCUCUUCGGUAUGCCUAUGUCACAGGGGUGUAGAGUGUUGUUGGUGCUUCACCAUAUAAACUUCUAUAUGGUCAUGAUCCAAUAUUACCAACGGAGCUGGGUUUACCUUCGUGAUUGCCACGAGCUUCCGUUGCUAGGUCGUGGGAUCAAUAUUUGACAAGCAUUCUUCCACUUGUCCGAGCAGAGUCUGCCAAACACUUAGGCCGCAUACAAGUAGGACAACAACGGCGCUACAACUCCCAUCAUCGUCCACCUAUAAAGUACAAAGUGGAUGAUUUGGUGUUAGUCUGUUUUCCCCAUUUUACAGUAUGUGGUUUAUCUAAGGGGCUCCUUGCGCAGUGGAAAGGAUUGUAUCGGGUGUUGCAGCAAUUUGGGCUGCAAGUUUAUGAGGUUCGGCAUGACGUCUAGUAGGCCGAUCCUCCGGAGGUUGUGCAUGUGCAGCAGUUGAAACGCUUCAUACAAAGGGAUCAGGAGCAGUUAAUACCAUCUAUAGAUCCGCCAAUGCCUCCUCCUAAUGUUCCUCCAGAUCUUAACCCGUUUACCAGAGAACCCUAACGGCUUUCCAUUAUUCUGAGAGAAGGGGAUGAUAUGAGGGCUAAGUGUACGGCUACAAUGCCAUAUACUAAUAUUAGUGUAGUGGGAUUUUGGUAGCUGUCAGAUUGGUUUCAAUCCGGACUACUUGCUCCUAUAUAUAAGCUAAGGUUUUUGGGCUAAUUGAUAUGCACAUUUCUAUAUUCCCUUUCCAUAUUCCAUGCACUCACAAACAUUAAGAAAAUAUGCAUAUCAAUUAGCCCAAAAACCUUAAUUUAUAUACAAAAAUGAAUGGCUUAGAUUAAAUCCCACAACACUAAUAUUAGUAUACAACAUCAUAGCUGGUGUUAUAAUUAUAAAUUUUGAUCAAUUAAAUUAAUAAAUAGAAAUAAUACUACUAUUAAUAAACUAAGAAUCUUUCCUAUCAACAAAAGAUGGGCACUUUUUCAAAUUAGGGUUCUUAGGAUGGCAUGACCAAGAAAGCACAUAACCUCCAGUUUGAUCGAUCCAUGGCUUUUGUUAUCACCACCAAAUCUCAUGGGCUUCAAUUAAAUGGUCAUGACGAAAUUUGAAGAGGAUCUGCCCUUGGAUUUGCAACUCCUCAAGAGCUCAAGCACCAUCGCGAGAUCAAUGUGUUCCUGGAUGCUAAAUCCAAAGCAGCCAGUGUUGCUGUAUCUGGGACCGCCUUGAGGAGCUGCAUCGCCUUACGAAAUGUGCCCAGAGCUGUAAAAAGAAGCUCUCAAGAUCAUUGACGCCUAGAUUUUCUGAUGGAAGACAUUUGUCGCACGCUGUGCUACGUGAGAAAAUUUUGGAAAGCUUUUGUGAUUGAUCCGUUUUCCUUUACCCAAAGCAUCAACUGGAUUGACUAGUCAUCCCCUUCUAAUGGCUUUUCCGUGCCUCUGUGCGACGCCUUCCCCCCCAAAACCAUCAUUCAUAUAUAUUAAAGGUGUGGCAGGACUCGCAAUGCCCAUCGCCUCUUCCUUGAAACUCUUUCUCGUGGAAGUUCAUGCUUUUCGCAUUACCGCGAAUGGGGUUUUAGGAAGUUUGAAAGUUUUCUAUAAAUCCCAUUCUUAAACGUGAUACCGCUGCCUUGGCAAGUCAAUAAGAAGACCAGAAUUUAUUUAUUAACUGCAAAGUGAGUGAUUGAUAUCAUCGCUCAUGGGCAGAACGUAAUGGUGAAAGUUCCUCCGGUUCCAGUGCCAAAAGUCUUGGUGUUAUCACCAGACCAGCUAUAGGCAUCCGGGCAUGAGGCACGGACGUUCUGCGCGUACUGGGAGUUUGGAUCGUCCCGGUUGGGACUGGUACAAGUAUUCCCAUUCCUGUUCUGGGGAGGACAAGUCGCUGCCUCUGCUCGGCAAGUCAGACCUCUGCCAGAUCCAGUGAUGCUCAUCCCAGUGCCGAUGAAGAAGCCAUCCACGGCGCUCACGUCGUAGAAGUCAUUGUUGCUGUUGCUGUUGAUCGAGAACUCGGCCAGGAGGCCGGGAGUUCCAGUGCCGAUGUUUCCCGCCCAGAGAUUCGGAGGAUUUAGUCCGCGAGAUGCGCCGGGGGCGAGAGUGAAUCCGGAGGUUCCAAUCGAGGGCCCCCCGGCGUUCUCGCGGACGAUGAUGUUCUGCGAGCCCCCGCAGCGAUUGACAACGUUGAAGUUAGUGGCUGCUGCGAGUGGGAUUGCUACAAAACAAUGGCUUAGAGCAACAAUUGCAACGAGGAUGGCAGUAGAGCUUGCCAUUGGAACUGUCUAUGCUAUACCUCUCUAA
rnacentral:lncRNA from 1 species